CAAACAACCCUACAUUUCUGCACCUGACGCAGUGAGUGUGCGCGGAGGUGUGAGUGUGAUCCUGGUCGGCAGUACGCCAAGCACGCCUUAAUCAACGCAAGUAAGACGCCGAUCGCCGAACGACACCCCAAAAAACCAGCUUCCCCCAGCAAACAGCAACAACAACACCGCCGCCACCACCACCGCCGCAGCACCACCCUGCCCAUCCCCCUUCUCACCACCGAGGUGUAACAAGCGGAAGCGAACGGAACGAUCACGGGCCGUCACGGGUUGGCCGGACUGGAUUUCGCUUUUUAGGUUUUCCGUACCAUCGGCGAUCGUGCAGCAACAGCAGCAGCAGGAUCACCUUCGCUGCUUUUGAGCUAGAAUUAAGAGGAACACCAGCUAGAGAACUGCGCCUAAACGAGGAUGUGAUGAGGCGUUCAAUCGCUCGUUCGUGUGCACUGCGGUAUUCGUGCCGCUCCUGUUCCCGCUGAGCCUUGCUUAAAAAACCACACCCUACGCCAGGCCACCAGGGAUCGGCCGAGUACGGUGCGCAGCAAGCGAACCAAGGCGGCGCAUCGGCGCUUGUACUAUUUUUAAAUUGUGCUUGUGCCGGCCGACCGGCUCCGUGAGCGCGUUUUUUGCUUCUAUUUCUACCUUCCCAUCUCCCCCCCCUUUUUUUCGCGUCUUCUUGUUGUUGUCGACAUCAACAUCAGACACAUGUUUAUCCUUAUUUUUGCAAACAUUUUUUCUGUCCGCGUAGAGAACGAAAAUGAUAGAAAGGGAAGAGAAAGAAGAGCGCAAAGGCGAAAGUGAGGAAGGGGGGAGGGGAGGGGGUGAGCGAGAACAGGAGUACUACUGCUAUUACUAUGCUAGGCCAAUGCUACAAUGCGCUUUUCCGCGUUUCCACGAUUACCUUACCGAACAUGAAUGUUAAAGAGGGUGUGCAGGGGGAGGCGGGUUAGCUGCGGCUGAACGCAAGCCUGAAUCCGAAUACCCGAUCAACGAUCCCAUCGCCCACCGGUGGAGGUGGCUUUGUCGCUAACCCUUUGCCGCCCUUAGUUUGCUUGUGCGCGUCUUUGCGUGUCGGAUGGUCAUCGCUAGUUAGGGCUCCAAGGCUCGGUUGCAAUACGUUUAUAUCCCAGAUAUUCGCGCCCGUACGUAGAUGGUUUGUGUUCUUUUUUUUUUUUUUUGUUUUUCUUUU